GAUGAACGCUGACAGAAUGCUUAACACAUGCAAGUCUAUGAGAAGAUCUACUUCGGUAGAAGGUUAUCAUGGCGAACGGGUGAGUAACACGUAGGUAAUCUACCCUUCAGAGGAGGACAACCUCAGGAAACUGAGGCUAAACCUUCAUACGUUCACUGGUAGGGAUACUGGUGAAGAAAGAGUUACCUUAAAGGUAGCUGCUGAAGGAUGAGCCUGCGGCCCAUCAGGUAGUUGGUGAGGUAACGGCUCACCAAGCCGAAGACGGGUAGCCGGCCUGAGAGGGUGUACGGCCACACUGGAAUUGAGAUACGGUCCAGACUCCUACGGGAGGCAGCAGUGGGGAAUUUUGGACAAUGGAGGAAACUCUGAUCCAGCAAUUCUGUGUGCACGAUGAAGGUUUUCGGAUCGUAAAGUGCUUUCAGUAGGGAAGAAGAAAGUGACGGUACCUACAGAAGAAGCGACGGCUAAAUACGUGCCAGCAGCCGCGGUAAGG
rnacentral:rRNA from 1 species